rnacentral:sRNA from 1 species
AAUGAUAUUAAAUAUUUUGGAAGUUUUAUUUUAGUAACUAAUCGUGUAGUUAAUAUGGAGAGAUUUAGGGAAGAUUGUUAAAUGUCAAAUAUUUAAUUCGAAGAUUUUUUUUCUAAUUAUCAAAAACAAACAUUAAAAUCCAGUGGCAGCAAUAGUAAAUAAGUCUCAAAUACAGGAUUUAUUUCACAAAAUGGCUGAAAAAUGUAUAUGUAGAUAAUU